AACGAACGCUGGCGGCAGGCCUAACACAUGCAAGUCGAGCGAACCGCAAGGUUAGCGGCGGACGGGUUAGUAACGCGUGGGAACGUGCCCAAAGGUACGGAAUAGCCUCGGGAAACUGAGAGUAAUACCGUAUGUGCCCGAAGGGGGAAAGAUUUAUCGCCUUUGGAUCGGCCCGCGUUGGAUUAGGUAGGUGGUGGGGUAACGGCCUACCAAGCCGACGAUCCAUAGCUGGUUUGAGAGGAUGAUCAGCAACACUGGGACUGAGACACGGCCCAGACUCCUACGGGAGGCAGCAGUGGGGAAUCUUAGACAAUGGGGGAAACCCUGAUCUAGCCAUGCCGCGUGAGCGAUGAAGGCCUUAGGGUUGUAAAGCUCUUUCACCGGGGAAGAUAAUGACGGUACCCGGAGAAGAAGCCCCGGCUAACUCCGUGCCAGCCGCCGCAGUAAAAC
rnacentral:rRNA from 1 species